ACGGGGUGCAGCAGGCGCGAACACUUUACAAUGCGGGAAACCGCGAUAAGGGAACCCCGAGUGCCAGCAUCAAAUGUUGGCUGUCCAGAUGAUUAAAAAUCAUUUGUUAGCAAGGGCCGGGCAAGACCGGUGCCAGCCGCCGCGGUAACACCGGCGGCCCGGGUGGUAGCCGUUUUUAUUGGGUCUAAAGGGUCCGUAGCCGGCCUGAUAAGUCCUUUGGGAAAUCUGGCAGCUUAACUGUCAGGCUUCUAAGGGAUACUGUCAGGCUUGGGACCGGAAGAGGUAAGGGGUACUCCAGGGGUAGGAGUGAAAUCUUGUAAUCCCUGGGGGACCAUCUGUGGCGAAGGCGCCUUACCAGAACGGGUCCGACGGUGAGGGACGAAAGCUAGGGGAGCAAACCGGAUUAGAUACCCGGGUAGUCCUAGCUGUAAACGAUGCUCGCUAGGUGUCAGACACGGUGCGACCGUGUUUGGUGCCGCAGGGAAGCCGUUAAGCGAGCCACCUGGAAGUACGUCGCAAGGC
rnacentral:rRNA from 1 species